UUUCAAGCAAAGAGGCCUACCUUCCCCAGA
rnacentral:piRNA from 1 species